rnacentral:lncRNA from 1 species
CUGUAUCUUAAAGUUCUUUUCUGACCUUAAUUCUGUUAUUUUGUGAUUUUAGCCCUGGUCUAAUUCGUUCUUGGAGGUGAAAGGGAAAUCUUUACCCACGUGAACAUCUGCAAAUGAAGAACUGCCUUCACUUUUCAAAGGCACUACAGACCAGAAGAUUUAAAUCAGCUCUGAUCCCUUCUGUUUCUCAAGAACAACAUGCAGCUUUGGGGCUGACCCAACCCGGACAGGCAGUUCUGGACAGGAUUCUGCUAGAUUUCAGGAGAAUGCUGCAAUAGAAAUUCAGGGUUUUGUCCAUUUUGCUGGAUGAAAAGGGAAGGGCUCAAACAGCAUCCUCUGAUCUGAACUGGCUGGGUGUGAACACGUGGGAAAAAGAAAAUGGGAAUUUUUCCACUGCCACAAAAAGCUGGGAUUGAGUUUUUUCCACUUAAAGGCUGUUUUAAUUAGGACUUGAGUGUCAGAAAUAUCUUUAAAAUUAUCCUAAACAAAAAAUAAAACCCUCUUUUAAUCCCA